UUCCCUGUGGCUCAGUUGGUAGAGCAUGGUGUUUGCAAUGCCAGCAUGGUGUGCAACACCAGGGUUGUGGGUUCGAUUCCCACUGGGGGGC
rnacentral:tRNA from 1 species